CGCCUAUAAUCCAUUUCCAGAUUUUGGAUUUCGUUUCUUAAUUGAUCAUGAUUUAUCGUUCAAGGUUAGUAAUUGUCAUUCUUCACUGCGUUAGCAUUCACUUAUGAUACUUUUGGAAAUCCUACUCGUUUAUUCCAUGAAGUUGAACUCAUAAUCUCAGCCCAUAAUACAACUUUUAGAUACACACUCAUCUUAUAUUAGCUCCCUCUGUUACUUUUCCUCAGCUUAAACGCUCACGGAGCAACUUUUCUUCUUUUGCACUUUUCAAUUCAACGCCGGAGCAUACUUAAUCUUACUAGUUCACCGCGUCAAACUUCUCAAAUGAACCGUUUUACCAUCACAAACUUGGCUCUCAAGGGUAUUCUAUACUUACAAUCUCAGGUCCAAACAUGAACAUUUGCGUAACUUACUCGUCAUAUGAUCUUUAAUCAUUUUAUGGUUCCCCACUUUCAAUUCUUUGGAAUAAAAUUUUCCUCUCUCAAAGAGUUGUUGACCUACAAGUCAAUCUACUAACUACAUUCUCAACCACUUCCCGGCUGCGCACUCUGAUUCGACUACUUGCUGGCAUUCUCUCUACGCGUCAUUACAGUCUUGGUCUACAAAUUCCCUGACAUUGUCACACAUCGUCUCAUCUUAUUCGGUGUUAUUGCUUUUAUUAUUAAUUCUCGUACCAUAGAUAUCACAAAACAACACUUGCAUCGUUUCGUGACGACAGGCGCACCACUGUAUACAUAAUACUUUACAACCAUCUAACAUGUCUGCAACACUUCACUUUUUAUCACUUACUAUUAUCUCAUACUCAUAGUCUCCUCAUCGUGUGGCAUCCGUCUCCUCUUACCAUUACAUUUGAUAGUAAUAACUGAGUUGUUCCAACAGCGACCUUUACUUGAUCAAUGAUAUUCUUAGCGAAUUGAUUUCUAUUUAACUUAUCACUUCACCGACCUCAGCCACAAUUAAUAUCCUUUUACUAUUACUACAUCUAUUGUUCUCGGCCAUUACUUUAUUACUCCACAAACUUCAUUAGGUUAUCUUAAGGGUAUAAGCUUGAAUAUCAUCACCGAUUAAUCCAAAAAUCUCCUUGUCGCAUAGCGCUUACGAUUUUCUCAUUCCAUCGAUGUUCAUCGAGGUUACCUCUUAUAUCUCUGGAUGGUUUUGGAUUUUUAUCCAAAUUGAGAUGGUAAGACCUUAUAAAGAAAGAUGAACUUAAUUGAUUACAGUAACGUUUCCAACGUUCGUGGUACCUUAACCAUGCUGCUUGACAGGUUAACAAGACUAGCGAGAGUUUGAACUUAAUUUCUAGGGACCCUUAAUUGCUAAUUUGACUUCUGUGAUUCUGAACCGGUCCUCGGUAAUGAUGCUAAAAGAUUGGAGAAUUUCUUGGUUAUAAACAUAAUGUUACUGCUCUUAAGGUCGACAUGAAUAACUGAUAGUCCUUAACGAAACACGGCUCAUUACUCUUAACAAGCAACUCAAACUUACAUAAGCCCGAACUAAGUUAUAAUAACAAAGUUGGAAAGCUGAAGACACUUCGUCAUAGUUACAUAAGGAUAACACUCUAUACAUGAAUCCAAUUCGCUGAUACUGAGGAAUUAGAAGGUACAAUGGUACAUAACUUAAUUGAAUUAUUGCAUUAAAUGUAAGUGAUAGGUCUCAAUGUACCGGAAGAAUUUAUCUCCCUCUUAUCAUAUGAUUAAAUAGGCAUGGGGAACGUAAUGUUCAUAACUUAAUAAGGCUUGCUGAUUAUGGAUCAUGCAUCGCAUCAAUUUGAUAAAUUUAGCAGAAUUAGAGUUCAAGUGAAAGGGUAGGUAACUGAAGAUCAUAAUUCUAUUGCAUUAUGUUCAUACUUCAUGAUUUCUCUUAACCGAUUAAUCUCUGGAACUGGGACAGACCUGAUUCUCAUUAGAACUUAGCUGAUAAACUCUCACAAAAGGUUUAACCGAGUAUGUUGAGUUAUUAGUUGAGAGGUUUGAAUACAAAAAAUUGUUCAGUGACUUCUUGAUGCUAGUACAAAACUGCAUUACUUGUUCUUGAAUCAAUGAUAAUGACACUUAUAAUAUGCCAGCUUAGGUAACUGAUAGUAUUAGAAUUAAUUCCAGCCAUUACUCAAACAAAAUUUUCUUGUUAUGUGUCUGACUAGGAUACUAGUUAUGAACUGAGAGGCUGAACUUAUCUUGCUGGGAACGAUUAGUGUUCUUAUUCUACGAAAAUGGUACGACAGGCUGAUAUUAAGAACUAAGGGAUUGCAUGAAGUCUAGUUUAUCUUUCUCCGAUAGUGUAAUUAGUUGACCUAUGUCACUAGGGGAAAACUACUGAGCUGAAAUGAAGGUUAGACGGAUUUGAAAGAGUUUGAUUCACUGACUUCUGAUAAGUCUUAUUUGAAUUAAGGUGCUCCUUGUAAUUAGGUCCACACAAUACACACGUGCCGGUUGGAUAUUACUGUUAUACCACACUCCAAUUAUACUAUGCGCCAUUCUCAUGACCCUAUCAUCUGUACUAAUGCACCCGUCAGACUUACUACAAUUUUCCAGUUUUCAUACUUCAAUACUCAAUCUCGGUUCCACUCCGGUCAAAGAUUACUUAUAUACCGUGUUUCCAUUCCCAUAAUUCUCAGUAUCCUUAAACCUGAUACUGUCAGUUGAGCACGUCCGGUUCGUGCAUUUCUGGACAUGCCUCUUACUAAUGGUAUUACGCCAAAUACUAUUCCCAAUUAUGUGUGCCACUUGUUGGCGUUACUAAAUAUACUCUUGUGCCGUCGACCGCCGCUGUUUACAAUAUCCGCUUCUAAUGGUCUCCAUUCAUACUUCCAUCGGAGUUCGCGCUUCUACUUCGUUCUUACUACUCGACCUCCUUGGUCCACUUCGGGUCUCGACCGUAAUACCCUGCCUACCAUACACGAUACUGAGUUGAUCGGGCUCAGCACGUGAUGAUNN
rnacentral:lncRNA from 1 species